AAUCCCGGGAUAACCGGGUAAAAGGGCGAGUGAGGCUGAUACACUUGCCCCCUAGCAAGCCAUUCGGUCUUAUUGGGUAGUAUGUAUGGAUUUGCCUUUGGCGAAUUAAGAUGUGCAAUUUGAUUAGAAUUAACUGGAUGGUGAGAAGGCAAAGUUCACCUUGAAGUCCGCUGGGGUUCGCGCUCCGGUGUACGCGAAAUAGACUUCAAGGGGGCAAGGGGUGUCGGGUUACGUAAGUUAGCUCGAAAGAAGAUGCCCCGAGCUUGAUUGAUUGAAACUGUGGCAUUUGGCUUACUCUAUGGAGUCUGUUAAUGUACUGCCUCAAUGUAGAUUGAUCCGACCUAAUUCUUUAAGGAAUUGGGUUGAGUUAGAUGUUUGGGUCUGCUUCGGGCCUAAGCUGAACACAGUUGCCAAAUAGGUAAUGAUUACCUACUGAGACAUCAGCACGGCGGAAACCAAAAAUUGGUCAGAAAUGGCCAGCCGGAUGAAAUCCUCCGAAAGGAGAACAAAAAACCGGGGUUUGUGUCGGGAUAGCCACGAGCCAAAGACGAUGGCCGUGAAAACUAUCUGGAAGCGUGGCGAUGAAGCAAAAACUUUAGCGCUGCAAAGUAAAUGAAAUGGUAAUCUGAGGGGUAAGAGGCGAGACCCGUGGCGCAGGCAAACGCGUCGCCAAAAGCGACGGCCGACCUGGUGUCAAAGGGCUAGGACAUGAUUAUUUACUUGCUUGUCCCAGCUUGGUCCGCGAGUCAGUGGCCGCAACCAUUGGCUGGACGGGCAAAUAAACCUCACCCAAUAAUCCAUAUGCUUAAAAAGCUUUGGACGGCCCUGCUAUGAGGCCGAUAUAACUCCGCAAGUCACGGAGAAUAGCGUCGGGGAGCGAUCGACCUAACAAAAUGGGUGCCAAACGGUUGCAACGGGAAAGAGCGCGUGGCGAGCGCC
rnacentral:sRNA from 1 species